rnacentral:sRNA from 1 species
GCACCUUAUAAAGCGGGUGCCGGGAUUGGAACCCCGGAAUUGCUCGAGGCGAUAUACGACGCGCUAGCGUCUUUUUU